CGCCUAACAACUAGCCUACACAGCCAACAACAACAAAAACCUUUUAAUACCCCCAAAAGCACCUACCAUAAUCAACCAAACCAUUUUUUCUCCUAAGUAUUAGUGACAGAAAAG
rnacentral:rRNA from 1 species